rnacentral:rRNA from 1 species
CCGGCCUCGGCAAAUAUCGCGCCCAGUUCGGGCACUCCGGCAGUGUUUCGCGGAUAGCGCCCGCCGGGGGUAAGCACCAGCGGCGUGCCCGCUUCCGGGCCGAUCAGUUCGUAGUCGAGCUCCAGCCCGUCAACCAGGAUGCGUGCCAUCUGCCUGCCCUUCAGACCGUGGUUUCGGAGAGGAUCUUGCCCCCGCGUGCGUCAUUCUCGAACCGGCCAAGGCCGUAGUCGCCCUUGAUCGUGGUGCGCUG